AACGAAAGUGCCGGGUUGAGCGGACUAAAAAUUAAAUAUCUUAAUAAGUACACAUGUAAAUCACUUAAAAAGAAUUGCACUAUAAAGAUGAUAUAUUCCGAUACCGCGUUCAUGUCAGUGUUAUAUUUGACCUAUAUUAUACACAGUUAUGUAUGGCUCAAACCAUACGUACUUAAAGUAAAGCAGACGCGAGUUGUGUGAUAAACUGUCAGUUGGAGUUAUUAACUUUUAAUUGGAUCAUAUUGGAUACAUCGAUUUGUGAGGUCAGAGCGAGGAUAUUCCGCCUCCGGAUAUUAAAGAUGCGUGCCUGUGAUAGUUUUAAGAUAUUGUAAUGAAUAAUGAAAAGGUCCCGCCCGAAAGUAAGUGUCUAUGAUGACACAAUGAGCAAAUGUGUGUUUUCUCAUAUUAUCGACAGUGGGUGACGAGGAAAAAAGCGAUAUUCAUAUUUCAUUAAAAUAUAUCAUAUGAAGCUGGAGUUUAUGUUACUGUGCAUAUUGUGGAGUCAUCUCAUAUUAAAAACAGCUAAAUAUUAACACCGUUGUGAAACAGGGGUGUCCCUUCAUGGACGCGGAGAACCAUUUUGAAUUGAGAAUUUUGUUUUUAAAUAAAAAUCAAUUCCGGUACCCGGAUUAACGUUUAAAUGGUGGCAGCGAGUGCUCAAAGCCGAAAAACAAAUUAUGUCCCGAAGCGUCUGACGUCAUUUACGCUAUGUUCCCAUCCCGAAUUCCGCACAUAGACGCUUAUAUGCAGAGAGGAUGUGACUUCCAUGUUCAACCAAUCAAAUGGUGCGGGUGCAAUGAGUUCAAAUGUCGUACCCAGCAGACGAUAUAAGGCGAACGCUUCCGAUUGGUUGCUCGUGGUUGCUGGGAUACUGAUUCUGUGCAUUAAUUUUUCUGUGGCACUUCCGGUUCAGGAUUUUUACCCAUUUAGCAUUACCGGUGAGGACAAUAAAACGUCGGUAAGGGACGACGGGGGUUCACCUGCUCUCUUACUGGAAACACCCAUCCGAUUUUUCAACUCCACUUACACGACAAUUUAUGUAAGUAUCAAAAUAGUGUAUAUAGUUU